AGAUUGAACGCUGGCGGCAUGCCUUACACAUGCAAGUCGAACGGCAGCACGGGGGCAACCCUGGUGGCGAGUGGCGAACGGGUGAGCAAUGCAUCGGAACGUGCCCAGUAGUGGGGGAUAACUAGUCGAAAGAUUAGCUAAUACCGCAUACGACCUAUGGGUGAAAGCGGGGGAUUCGCAAGAACCUCGCGCUAUCGGAGCGGCCGAUGUCUGAUUAGCUAGUGCGGGUAAAGGCCACAAGCUCGAUCAGUAGCUGGUCUGAGAGGACGACCAGUCCACACUGGGACUGAGACACGGCCCAGACUCCUACGGGAGGCAGCAAGUCGGGGAAUUUUUGGACAAUAGGGCGCAAGCCUGAUCCAGCCAAUGCCGCGUU
rnacentral:rRNA from 1 species